UACGAAGGGGGCUAGCGUUGCUCGGAAUCACUGGGCGUAAAGCGCACGUAGGCGGAUCUUUAAGUCAGGGGUGAAAUCCCAAGGCUCAACCUUGGAACUGCCUUUGAUACUGGGGAUCUCGAGUCCGGAAGAGGUUGGUGGAACUGCGAGUGUAGAGGUGAAAUUCGUAGAUAUUCGCAAGAACACCAGUGGCGAAGGCGGCCGACUGGUCCGGUACUGACGCUGAGGUGCGAAAGCGUGGGGAGCAAACAGG
rnacentral:rRNA from 1 species